GGAAUAUUGGACAAUGGGCGCAAGCCUGAUCCAGCCAUGCCGCGUGUGUGAAGAAGGCCUUCGGGUUGUAAAGCACUUUAAGUGGGGAGGAAGGGGUCAACGCUACUACCGUUGAUCAUUGACGCUACCCACAGAAUAAGCACCGGCUAAAUCUGUGCCCGCAGCCGCGGUAAUACAGAGGGUGCAAGCGUUAAUCGGAAUUACUGGGCGUAAAGCGCGCGUAGGCGGUUAUUUAAGUCGGGUGUGAAAGCCCCGGGCUCAACCUGGGAAUUGCAUCCGAUACUGAGUGACUAGAGUAUGAGAGAGGGAGGUAGAAUUCCACGUGUAGCGGUGAAAUGCGUAGAUAUGUGGAGGAAUACCGGUGGCGAAGGCGGCCUCCUGGCUUAAUACUGACGCUGAGGUGCGAAAGCGUGGGGAUCAAAC
rnacentral:rRNA from 1 species